rnacentral:lncRNA from 1 species
GUUUUUGGGCUAUAAGACUCUUAGCUUCCAGCGAGCUAGGUGCAUAAGCUUUUUUUACUACAAAAACGAUUCCUCCCCCGGCAAAAAGUGGUCCGCCAACUGAACUUGCCUUGUUGUGAUAGGGGUACCGCCUUUUCAUUCCCACCAAGGAGCCGUAGCUUUACUUAGAUAGGGCUUGACUGCCUUACCUUCUAUUAUAUUAGUAAAGGGCCUUUAGGCUUGACUUUACUAAUAUAAUAUCAAGUAAAGGGGCAUGUAUCCUUUUUUUGUAAAGAAAGAGGGCUACUUCACGAGCCGCUACUAAUAAUCGAAAAGGUUCACAGCGAGUUCAGUCU